CAGAUGAAUAUAAUUAUUAAAUAAAAUAAAAGAUAAAUAAUUAUUAUAUAUCUUAAGAUAACAUUUAUAUAGAUUAUAUAAAUUCUGGAUCAUGCAUUUUGCAUUAUAUAUGAAGAGCUUUUCAGCAAGAAACACAUGAAUACAAUGUCAUACGAUUGACUAUUAGAUAAAAAAAUUAUCGAAGCUUUUAAAAUUCUGUAUUUGUUAGAUAAUUGCAAAUUAUCCUACCAUUAUCGAGUUUCUGCAACUGUGAAGUUCUAUAUAUUAUAUGAAUUCAGACAUUGUGGGACUUUCGAUAUUCAUUAGAUUGGCAAGAGUGCCGCGAUAUACAGCAUAACGCGCGCACGCGCAUGAUUCUGAUUCUCUUGCCGCGCUCGCACAUCGAAGUAAAGUCACAUCUGUAAGGCAUCGCUUAUUUUCCGAAAGUACAUCGCGGGUGCGAAGUAAAUUAUAUCGUAAAUGUUUUGAAAGUACUCAAUGAAAUAUCGUAGUUUAUCGCGUUAAUUAUUUCAUAUAAUUGUAAUUAGUGUAUUAGUAAAUAUUUUUGAUAUACUGUUAUUUAAAUGUACGACAAUAUCUCUUGGGAAUUUGAAAUGAUAAUUCUUAACCAGGAGUUAACUUCAAAGGAUCUGGUAAAACGACGAUGUAGCGAUUGAUUCUACUCUCAAAAUCGAAGUUCAAUCUGAUAAAGCAGACAAGAGAAAGUUCUUGAAACUGUUAUCCGGCAAAAUAAUCUUGGAUCGUGCGCGCGGCAAAUGAUUGACAGAAUGAUAUCAACGUCACGUACGUUAUCCUCGUCAAUAAAACAAACUUUAGUUAUGUCAAUAUCUCCGUCGUUAUUUCCUGACAGAAUAUUAAGAAGAUAUCUGUAAUCCAAUCUAGAUAAAAUAAAGUCCUGCUGCGAUUAAUUACAUUAUGUAAUAAAGAUCGGUGCAAAAAAUUGUUCGAGAGCAAGGUGUGCAGUCAAGUGUUUUUCUAUUCUUUUUGUUCGCUCUCUAAGAAUUCCCAUUCACGUUUUUAAUUCCAAAAAGCAAUGAUGAUGAAUACAACGAUGGACGUGAUGGAUUACGUUCAAAAUUCAAGUUACAACUUAACGCACGAUAUAGGCCAAAAUUGCGAGGCUGAAUUGCCAAUCAUCGCUCUGGUCAAUCAGAUUCUCUACUCUAUUGUCUGCAUCGUCGGACUUCUCGGGAAUACUUUGGUCAUUUAUGUUGUCCUACGCUUCUCGAAGAUGCAAACAGUGACAAACAUGUACAUCGUAAACUUGGCGAUCGCGGACGAGUGCUUCCUGAUAGGUAUACCGUUCUUAGUGACGACAAUCAGUUUGCGUAGCUGGAUCUUCGGUAAGAUCAUGUGCAAAGCAUACAUGACCACGACAAGUAUUAAUCAGUUCACCAGCAGCAUCUUUUUGUUUAUUAUGAGCGCCGAUCGUUAUAUCGCUGUAUGCCACCCGAUAUCAUCCCCGAAGAUGCGCACGCCGUUUAUCUCCAGAGUAGUCUCGCUUACUGCCUGGGCCACCAGCGCUCUCUUCAUGGUCCCGGUAUUCCUUUACGCGAACGCCAUGGAAUCUCCGGAAGGUGUUGUCAGUUGUAAUAUUUAUUGGCCCAACGAUCGCGGCGGUCAGACCUCUUUCACCCUUUACACCCUCAUCCUAGGCUUCGCCGUUCCCUUGGUUCUUAUACUGAUCUUUUACUUCCUCGUGAUCAAAAAGCUACGCACGGUGGGGCCGAAAAACAAAUCGAAGGAAAAGAAACGAUCGCACCGAAAGGUCACCAAGCUGGUGCUAACAGUGAUCACUGUGUAUGUAUUCUGCUGGUUACCCUACUGGGUCACCCAAGUGGCGUUGAUAUAUACCCCGCCGAAGCAAUGUCAGACCAGCAUCUCUAUUACCAGCUUCCUCCUAGCUGGUUUUCUCAGCUACAGCAAUAGUGCAAUGAAUCCAAUUCUGUACGCUUUCCUCAGCGACAACUUCAAGAAGAGCUUCCUAAAGGCGUGCACCUGUGCGGCCGGCAAAGAUGUAAACGCGGCGCUGCACAUCGAGAACAGCGUGUUUCCAAGAAGGAACAAGACCAACGUCGAUAGACUUCAGUCUAACCGGGUGGUUACCUCCGGACAGUCCAGGAUAGAACUCGAGGACGAAGACGCGGAGAGAGGUUUACUCAUCAGCAAAACCUCUACCACCACAGUGACCAUGACCUCACGAUCGAACAUCACGGUUAGCAGCGAGCCCAGAGAUCUGGCACAGAGGGAUAAGGAUCUAAUUAAGAACGGUGCACAAUUAACUCUGUUGACGCAGGUUUAAAGCUCUCCCUCCCGAUCGGACAUCACCGCGAUUCCAAAACGAGAGCACUCCAUUGUCCGUUGGAAAUGAUAGACCGAUUAUCUCCUUGCUGAAUCCUGAUUGUAGCGACGACAUUCGUAUCUAUUGCGCUGUUCACGAAAAUGGAGAAUCAGGGUCAAAUGCAAUGGUAAAAAAUUACUAAAGAUGCGUCGGCUUGUCAGUGAUGUGACAUCGACGAGUGAUUUCACAGUGCUAGCGUGAUCCGAAAUUCUUUGUCGAAUGCCGACGUAGUCGCUGGAUAUGAAUAGAAAGAAACACGAAGAAGCUGCGCUUCGCAUGGAUAUUGAAUUCUUGGUGCUAUUUGUUUCGACACAACAAUUAACCGAAUAAUUUGAAAGUCAUUGAUGUUAUAGUUUAGAAAAAUUUGUAUGAAUCAACGCGAGACAUAUUUUAGAAUCUACAUUAUUGCGAAAAUGAGGGGAUAGAACUUAAAUAUUUUUUCGUAAAAAUGAUUUCUCUAAAUACAACACACAAUCGUUGUACCUGACUGUUGUUUGUCACGACAUAUAUAUUAUAAUAUUACUUUAAUCUUAAGUACAAUAUAUAUAUAUAUGUAUAAAAUACGAAGAUUAUCUUAAAACGCGAAGACACUGCGCUCAAUUCUAAAUGCAACGAUUGUCUAACCGAUAUAUUCUUUUGCGAUAGACGGGAUGAACGUUUUUCUUUAUCUAGUAAACAAUGUAUCACUGGACCGAACAUAAGAGCUCAUGAUCGAUGAUUUUCUCAUUUCUCAUGACAAACAUUCGAAAACACAAAAAAUCGAGGUUGUCAAAAAAGUUGCGACUACAUCCGCCUGGAUAUUGAUCUAUGAAUACUUAUGAAAAAAGUUUUUGUUAGAUUUUGUGAUGAUUUAUCCACAUUUCAAAACGGCAAUGCGUGUGUAAUGUUUCGAGUAGCAGUAAAAUAUAAUUGUAUAACUAUAAUAUUGUGUAGGUAGCUAAGAAUAUUUAUUAAAAAACGAUUCAGCAUCACGUAAACUAUUGGCAUUUAUUAUAAUAAUUAUUAACGCAGGUUGUAUGACAAAUAACUGAUAAAUCUUUGCCAAGAUACAAACAAAUGAUCUAUUUUACUAGUGCACCGUGCCAAAAUUAAAUACUGAUUCGCAUAAAGCAACACACCAUAAAGAAAGGACGUUCCUAUCGGCGAACAAUUACAGAACUCAAGGCAGAACCGCAAGUAGAUUUCCAAAGACGAAAAACUUUCUCGAUUCAGUGUUACGAGGCCUAACAAUCUUUCCGAAAUGUUCCCCUUUCGGAAGAAAAAUGAUAUUGCUCUCUUGAGAUUCGCAUCUCAUCACCUCUCCUUCUAUUUCCCCGUUUAAUGUCCUAUUCCAUUGUUUUCUUUUCACUCAGCAAAAAGAACAAUAAGAUCAGUACUACGAUAGUAUCGCUGUAAUCACAAUACAAGCGGUAUAUUUUAUAUAAGCCGUGUGUCUCUUUUCACAGAAUUACUCUUGCCUCUUAUUAAUUCAUCUACGCUCAUGGAACAGAGAAUCGUAGAAGAUAAAAUUCUCGAUAUUGUGCAAUUCAUGAUAAAAGACGACAACGUAUCAUGUGUCGUAUUUCGAAAAGUAGCAUUCUGUCAAAGUUUAUAGCGAGUACAUGCAUGAUUUCAUAGAACAUUCGGAUAAUAUCGGAUAAAAAUUGUCGACAAUAUUUUAAGCAAAUCAACACUGAAAUAUUUAUUGAAGCAAACUUGUGGACAUUGUUGAUUUAUGAAAUUUAACGCUGCGAAUAAUUUAAUAAAUUGUACUAUUUAUCAAUAAUGUCAGUUAAAUACACAUCGAUUUUUUAUAAUUAUCUGCAUUUAAUGGAAAAAUGUGAUUUUCUUAAAAUUAGCACAUAAAUUAAAUUAACUUUUCAUCGCGUUUAUAUCAUCAUUAAUACUGUUUAUAUAUAAUUUUUAUAUGAGAUUUUUUUAUCAUUUUUAUAACUUCCUCAUUUACAUACCUUUAAAUUUAUCAAUCUUUUUAAUGAGAGAUUAUUGACAUGAUCAAUUGAGACUUAUUAAUAAUUAUUACUAUAAUUAAUUCAAUUAAUAGUAAUUACUUAAAUUAAUAGCAAAAAUUUAUGCCUAAAAAAUACGAAGAUAUUUACACAAUAUAAAACAUACAGAAAUGAAGUGAGAAUUGUGUUCACACAUGAUAGAUUUUUUUUUCAUAACGCAAAUAAUUUAAAUUGAGACAUAAAAAUUAUUCAAAAAAUGUACUCGCGGUGGAUUAUCAUAUUACAUGAUAUUUUCCAUAAGCUGGAGAACUCGUAAACUAGAUGAGAGGUGUGCUGAUUGCUAGCACGUCUGUGUACUCACUCUUCAAUCACCAUAUCUUUUGAUCAGCCCUUCCCUUCUAUUUCAUUUCUUUGUACAUUAAGAUUCUAUCCAAUUCAAGAUUACAUCCCAUUCCAUAAAAAUCGCACGCGCACAAGAAAAAUAUUCAGUAAAAUGCUGUCUUGCGGCGUAGAAAAUAUAUAUCUUUUCUAAGAUAUAUAUUUUAACUACGCUGCAUAAAUACACACAUAC